rnacentral:rRNA from 1 species
GACGAACGCUGGCGGCGUGCUUAACACAUGCAAGUCGAACGGAAAGGCCCUGCUUUCGUGGGGUUCUCGAGUGGCGAACGGGUGAGUAACACGUGAGUAACCUUCCCUUUACUUUGGGAUAACUUCAGGAAACUGGGGCUACUCCCGGAUAGGAGCUCCUGCUGCAUGGUGGGCUUUGGAACUUUUAGGCUGUUGGGGAUGGAUGGGCGGCUUAUCAGCUUGUUGGUUGGGUAGUGGCUUACCCAGGCUUUGAAGGAUAGCCGGCAUGGGAGGGUGAACGGCGACAAGGGGACUGAGAGAGGGACCAGACGGGAACGUGAGACAACAGUGGGAAGUAUUGCACAAUGAGCGGGAGCGUGAGACAGAGACGUCGGGGUCGGAAAGACGGCCUGCGGGUUGUAAACCGCUGUAGCCUGUGACGAAGCGGGAGUGACGGUAAUAGGUGAAGAAGCACCGGCUAACUACGUG